UACGUAGGGUGCAAGCGUUGUCCGGAAUUAUUGGGCGUAAAGAGCUCGUAGGCGGUUCGUCGCGUCGGCUGUGAAAACCCGGAGCUCAACUCCGGGCCUGCAGUCGAUACGGGCGGACUUGAGUGUUGCAGGGGAGACUGGAAUUCCUGGUGUAGCGGUGAAAUGCGCAGAUAUCAGGAGGAACACCGGUGGCGAAGGCGGGUCUCUGGGCAACUACUGACGCUGAGGAGCGAAAGCGUGGGGAGCAAACAGG
rnacentral:rRNA from 1 species